AUACCUUAUUCGACCUUUUGGCUAAGAUCAAAUGUAGUAUCUGUUCUUAUCAGUAGUUUAAUAUCUGAUUAGUGGCCCAAUGGGUCACAACAGUAUUAAAUUACUUUUUUGAGGGGGAGAGACAAUUUCAAUAGCUUGCUAUUGGAUUUCUGUGUUGCUUAUGUGUUACACUAUUACAUUGGUUGGUGAACCCCAC
rfam:Medicago truncatula strain A17 chromosome 2, whole genome shotgun sequence.